AUUGAACGCUGGCGGCAUGCCUUACACAUGCAAGUCGAACGGCAGCAUAGGAGCUUGCUCCUGAUGGCGAGUGGCGAACGGGUGAGUAAUAUAUCGGAACGUGCCCUAGAGUGGGGGAUAACUAGUCGAAAGACUAGCUAAUACCGCAUACGAUCUACGGAUGAAAGUGGGGGAUCGCAAGACCUCAUGCUCCUGGAGCGGCCGAUAUCUGAUUAGCUAGUUGGUGGGGUAAAAGCCUACCAAGGCAACGAUCAGUAGCUGGUCUGAGAGGACGACCAGCCACACUGGGACUGAGGCACGGCCCAGACUCCUACGGGAGGCAGCAGUGGGGAAUUUUGGACAAUGGGGGCAACCCUGAUCCAGCAAUGCCGCGUGAGUGAAAAAGGCCUUCGGGUUGUAAAGCUCUUUUGUCAGGGAAGAAACGGUAGUAGCGAAUAACUACUACUAAUGACGGUACCUGAAGAAUAAGCACCGGCUAACUACGCGCCAGCAGCCGCCGUAA
rnacentral:rRNA from 1 species